CAAUAGCGUAUAUUAAAGUUGUUGCGGUUAAAAAGCUCGUAGUUGGAUUUCUGCCGAGGACGACCGGUCCGCCCUCCGGGUGAGCAUCUGGCUCGGCCUGGGCAUCUUCUUGGAGAACGUAGCUGCACUUGACUGUGUGGUGCGGUAUCCAGGACUUUUACUUUGAGGAAAUUAGAGUGUUUCAAGCAGGCUUACGCCUUGAAUACAUUAGCAUGGAAUAAUAAGAUAGGACCUCGGUUCUAUUUUGUUGGUUUCUAGAGCUGAGGUAAUGAUUAAUAGGGAUAGUUGGGGGCAUUCGUAUUUAACUGUCAGAGGUGAAAUUCUUGGAUUUGUUAAAGAUGGACUACUGCGAAAGCAUUUGCCAAGGAUGUUUNCAUUG
rnacentral:rRNA from 1 species